GCCGCUGUGGCGGAAUAGGCAGACGCAAGGGACUUAAAAUCCCUCGGUUUAACGACCGUACCGGUUCAAGUCCGGUCAGCGGCACCA
rnacentral:tRNA from 1 species